UCAUUUGUAACAUUACGGUUAUGAUUAUACCGAAUAAUCCUUGGUCAUAAUCAUACCAAGUCCAUCUAUGCACUACAGGCCACAGAUGACUUUCAACACAUUAUAAGCAUGAGGAUGAUGACAAUGAUAUAAGAAUUCAACUAAAAGAAAGCAAAAGAUAAAUUUUUAAAGAUUUAUAAUUUAAUUUAUCCAGAAAUCAAUAACGUCCAAAUUGUCAAC
rnacentral:lncRNA from 1 species